CCAGGUGUUCCCUGCAGGUGAUGAUGCACUGCCGCUCUGCUCCAGCUGCUGGAAACGGGCCCUUAUUUCAUCAGAUGCUACAAACCACCUUACACUCCUACGCACUGCAGUGGGCCAGCUGGCGGUGGAGGCUGUGGAGGAAGCAGGUGUUCCAGAUUUGAGUGGCAGGUGGUGAUCUAUGCAGAUCUAUGCAGCCGGAGUGAACCGCCAGAUAAAUCCAUAACUUCUUAUUACAGCGAGCCGGGAAUCCAAAAGGCCAAGUGCAGAAACUGGAGAUUUCAUUUUAUACCAAUCUUUCAGUUCAAAACCAGGUCAAUUUCCCAGCUAGCAUACGGAUGUGGGCCACUUCAGGCAAUGAUGCGACACUUCUGGCCUUAAUGUGGACUGAACAAAAUGGAUGUGAGCCUAAUGUUGCCCACUGGCAAAAUGACAAAUGCGGUGCUCCAGGCAAGGUGUAAUCUGGAUGUGAACCUAAAGUGACCAAUGUGGUAAAUGGUGAAUUUGGCCCAAAUAGCACAAAACUAAUUUGGGCGACCUUUGGCACCUUUGGUAGACAUGUUGUAUUGCUAUGGCUUUCUUGUGGCCCAGAUCUGGUAAAACAGGAGCGGGCCGCCCAUGUGCCAUCACUCCACGUUGUACAGUAUGUGGGCUGCAUGUCAGUGUGGCAGUGUGACAGUGUGGGCCAAAUCUGGGCCAAUGCAAUUAUGCUAUGUGGGUUCUUUGUACGUGUAGACAUACUUGGCCAAUGAGGCCGAUACUGAGAGACUGUAAACAGGGGUAAACAGUUAGCCUAGCGCUAAAACCCUUAAAGCUCACCUAAUCACAGGUUAUAUACAGAAACUGAAAUGUAAAAACAAUGAGGGGUUUACUGUUUCCACCUGUUUCCAGUCGUUGUCCUUGGCCAAGUAAGUAAAUCCAUUACAAAAACAAAAGUGUAAAAAACUUUUAAUGGUUUUACCUGCAGUUAUAUUUUCUUAUAUUACGUUUGUAAUGACAAUCUGUGCUAACUGGUGAGAAAUAAAGGU